ACCAUGUGGACCCUCAAAUCAAAAUAUCAAGCUCAGACAACUUGGCUAUACUCUGACUUCAUAUUAGCCAUCACUACCUGAAUAUCACAUAGGCAGCUCUUGUGCAAUUCAACUCCAAUAUAAGUUCAUUAAUUGAAUAAGAUCUUGACUUUCUCCAUGUACAAAGCUGUCUUACCUUAGGAAUCCCAUGUUUCAGUGCAUGGCCAACUUAUGUAAUGAUUUCCAAAGUCCAGUUAAUUUCAUAUUCUGCAGGGAAAAAAAGGAAGCAAAAAAAAAGCAGACCAUAACAAAAGCAGACAGCAAGAGGGCCAAUUAAAAAAUAUAUUAGUAAUUACAUUAAAUAUAAGUGGUCUAAAGUAAUGGCAGAGAUUGUAAUAUAGAAUAAACAAUGUAAAUUAAAGUUAAUGGUACCUAGUUGAAAGAUACUUUAAGUAAAAGGAUCUAAAUAGCUUAAAAGUAAAAGGAUAGAAAUACACAUCUCAUGAUAAGAGUAACCAAAGGGAAUUGAAGAGGCAUGGUUAAUAUUUUAUAUUUUAUUUUUGAAUAACAUUUAUAUUUUAUAAAUAUUUUAUAACACAUUUUCAUUGGUGUUUAUUUAAUAUUUUAAAAUUUGUCUCUUCUUUCCUUUACAUAUGCUCUCCUGGUGCCAAGCUAUUACUAACAAAGAAAAGACUGCUUCUGUAAUACAACAAUAAAUUUAUUGAACUAAAAGUUGAGACUGACAUCUGGGCACAUUGGGCUCCUCAUGCCUCUGAAUAAACAGACAAACAAAUGAGUUACUAUACCAGCAGAGGGGUACAAGCAAUUUUCCAGUCUUGACCCUUUAUCUGUUGACCAAGCUAAGGCAGAAACCAGCUAAAUUCUGGAUUUAAUCUUGAGCAGCAAAAAAGAUCAGCUUUUGAAGUGGAUCUGCUUUUAUUCUUGGCAAAAGUUCAGCGGAGACCAACCAGAGUGGUGACAAAGUUCUUCAACAUCAAGCCAAAUGUAAUACAAGGAAUUACGGAUAGUGCUUAAUCUAAAAUAAAGAAAUUCCACAUCUCCCUAAAAAGUUAUUGGCUUCAAGAAUGAAAACAAAAGAAGCAUAUUUGUCUCAAUCCAAACACAGACACCAGAAAGACAAACCAGGAGUAUACAGCAAAGUAGCUUGCAGGAUAAUACAUUGAAAAAUGUAAUUGUGCAUAAAUCAUGCACAAAGUAGAAACCACAAAUUCUGUAUUUGGCAAGGCUUCGGUUCCUUUGCAUAAUUCUUUCAUUUUCAUCUUGCUGCUUCCAUUCUCUUUUCAUCAAAAAAAGCUACAUAAAACAAAGACAUAAACUGUAUGCAAUUAAAAUGAGAAAAUAGCUGAAAGGAAUGUAUUGAUAAUUAUGUUAAAAUCUAUACCAUAAGUAUUCUUGCAUUGUUAAGCAUCUAAUUUUUCAUGUGUUGACAUCAGCAUCUCAGUUCUCUCUAACAUCUGAAAGCUUUUUUUUUUAAGGCAACUUCUUUUAGAGUGAACAAACUUAUGUACCACCGAGUUGACAAAAGUAUAACUAUAUCCUACAGAAAGAGACCUCAAGUAAACCUCCAGCAGCCAUCUGGACUUCCAUGAAAACAGAACAAUCAGUGAGAUGCAGAGCUUGGAGGAGACAGUUUCCAUAGACUGAAGCACGUGCUGAAGCAAAGUUCACACUUGCAGGAUUAGAAGAGGUUGACCGAAAGAAGGAAGGACAUGGACAGCUAUGUUGUUGUGGAGUCCUGUUUUAUAGUCAUAACCUUGAGUCAAGUGAGUUUGUCUGGACAGACAGAGCUUGUUGCCUUUACUUAUAGGGAAGGCACCGGACACAGACAGCCUCAAGGACAUUUGUUCUAGCCUUUCAGUAUCCUUUCUCUUAAUUAUCUCACCUCAUCCAUGAAGCUGGUAUGUACGAUUUUUCCUUUCUUUCUCAAUCCUUUAAAAAAUUAAAGCUCUAAAUCUCAUUUCCACUUAGAUUUUAAUGUUGCAUUGUAACUUAAGAUAAAACCUUGCUCUGAUGUUAAAAAUACUAAAGUAAGAAGCAAUAUGGCAUAGUGCUUAUGAGCAGGACUACAUAGUUCUUUCUGAAUACAAAUCUCAGAUAAAACACUAUCUCAGUGAUCAACCAGGUUAAGCAACCUUUUUAGUGCCUCAAUUAUUCCAUUUGUAAAAUUGUAAUAAUGAUAGUACUAACCUAUAAGAUUGUGGUGAGGAUUAAGUCAGAUAAUACAAAAGAAGCAUUUAGAGUAUUUCCUGGCAUUAUCUACCAUUUAUUGAAUUUUUAUGGUUAAGAAGAAUAAGGAAAAGCAGAAGAAAAGGAAAAGAGAAAAAAUACAUAAGAAGAAGGAAGAGUGGUAAGCUCUAGUAAAUUACAACAAACGGUAACGUAGAAAACAUUUGUUAGCCCUUAAUAUAGGCCAGGCACUGUGUUCAAUGCUUAAACCUCAUUACUGUUCUUUGAAGUGGAUAACAUUAUUCCUUCCAUUUUAAAGAAAGGAAUACUAAAGACAACUUUGUCAAUAUUAUUCAUGUAAUAAAUGACAGAAUUUGACCAAGACAAUAGAGAAUGAACUCUUAAUCACUAUAUUGUUUUAUUUUUUGAAAAUAGAUUUUAAGUUCUUAUUAAAUG
rnacentral:lncRNA from 1 species